CCUACGGGAGGCAGCAGUAGGGAAUCUUGCUCAAUGGGGGAAACCCUGAAGCAGCACCGCCGCGUGGAGGAUGAAGGUUUUCGGAUUUUAAACUCCUUUUGUACUAGAAGAUAAUGACGGUAUCUAACGAAUAAGCACCGGCUAACUCCGUUCCAGCAGCCGCGUUAAUACGGAGGGUGCAAGCGUUACUCGGAAUCACUGGGCGUAAAGAGCUCGUAGGCGGGAUAGCAAGUCAGAUGUGAAAUCCUAUGGCUUAACCAUAGAACUGCAUUUGAAACUGUUAUUCUAGAGUAUGGGAGAGGUAGGUGGAAUUCUUGGUGUAGGGGUAAAAUCCGUAGAGAUCAAGAGGAAUACUCAUUGCGAAGGCGACCUGCUAGAACAUAACUGACGCUGAUGCGCGAAAGCGUGGGGAGCAAACAGGAUUAGAGACCCGUGUAGUC
rnacentral:rRNA from 1 species